UGGCAUUGUGUAUAAGAAAAGUGUUCCAAUAAUAAAAUCAUGGCAAUAUUACUCCUUUCUCACAACAAUAUUUUUAGUAGUAAUCUAGGCAAUAAAUGUAAUAGCAGGUCUAACACCACUGGCAAUAUUAAAUUGAAAUAGCAAAUUGCAAAGCGAGUGAAAUUGUUAUCAGAGGGAUUGAUCUAGAGUAGAACCAAUAUUUUUAGCUUCCAAAUAAAUGUUCAGUAAAAUAAUACUUCACUAUUGUGCAAACAUUAUAAUAGCGAUUUACCAAAAAUAUAUUACUUUAAAAA
rnacentral:lncRNA from 1 species